rnacentral:rRNA from 1 species
GUGUCAGCCGCCGCGGUAAUACGGGGGGGGCAAGCGUUGUUCGGAAUUACUGGGCGUAAAGGGCUCGUAGGCGGCCAACUAAGUCGGACGUGAAAUCCCUCGGCUCAACCGAGGAACUGCGUCUGAUACUGGAUGGCUUGAAUUCGGGAGAGGGAUGCAGAAUUCCAGGUGUAGCGGUGAAAUGCGUAGAUAUCUGGAGGAAUACCGGUGGCGAAGGCGGCAUCCUGGACCGACAUUGACGCUGAUGAGCGAAAGCCAGGGGAGCAAACGGGAUUAGAUACCCUGGUAGUCC